CAGGUGCGGCAGGUGCGGCGGCAGGUGCGGCAGGUGCGGCGGCAGGUGCGGCAGGUGCGGCGCUCUUUCUUCCACGGUCCAGCGCCAAGGCUCCUGGAGACGAAGGGCGGGAGAGGCCAGCGUUCUUCCGGAACAAACCCGAGCUCUGCUGUGUCUCGGGCAGCUGUCAGGGAUCUGAGCUGAGCUCCCGGCGAUGCCGUGUCCUCUCACUGCCCGAGUCCCUUUCAUCCUGACACUCGGGGCUGGUUGUCGGCACCAGGGACCAAUUUCUGCCCAUCACCUGCGUGUCAGCCGAGCGUGGGCCACUGGUGCCAGGGAGCCCUUCGAUCCUGCUCGUUUGCGGUAAUUGCUGUCACCUCGAAAAAAACAUCCUGUUCUGUUCACUGAGUCCGACGAUAGCCCCUCGCUGCUUCCCUUUGGAAAUCAUGAAGAAGAUACAAAGCCAUCUCUCCCUGCGACACACAGGUCUUGGAGAAGAGA